UCAAAGGAGGCCAGAAACAGGAAAUGGUAUGGGUGGUAUGACUUCAGACGUUUCCAGCGUUCUAGGGUGAAUACAUGAACCUGUUAACCAAACAAGAAAAUAAACAAAGACAAUUUAGAUGCCUCAAAGUGGGUGAAACCUGCAAAAAUAAAAUGGUGCAGCUAACAGUGCUGCUUCAGCUAGCAACGCUACAUUAGCAUUAGGCAACCACACGAAUUACGCAAUGCCAGACAGAGAACAUAAAUAAACUAGACGAAGUGAAGAGGGAUAACGAACAAGAGGAAGAGGCUGGAGAAACACAUUGGGACACUGUGUUUGUGGCAGAAGCUGAUAGUCAACAACAAAAAGCCUUUGGAAGUGGACAACCGGAGCGGAGAGCAAGAGCCGAAGCAAGAGGAGCAACAGGUGUGUGGCUCCAGAAGAUGAAAGGUGAAGUUCCUGCUGUUGUUGUCCUGGAAGAUUUCAACUUCUCCCUUGACACUCAACACAAGGCGGAAUGAGUGAGAGGGAUAAAGAGACAUGGAGGCGCACACUCAUCAGUCAAUCUGUGGGGACAAACUUCCUGACCGUUGUUAAGAUUACUGGCGAGGUACUGCAAGGAAGUUUGUUGUACAUUUGCAGCUUUCCAACAAACCCACUUGAGCUGUUGGGAAAACCGACACCCUGAGGAACCCCGAAUUUAUAGGUUGUGUUUCUAAUGGGAUGCUAAUGUUACCUUCUUUACUCAGGAC